GAUGAACGCUGGCGGCGUGCCUAAUACAUGCAAGUCGAGCGAACGGACGAGAAGCUUGCUUUUCUGAUGUUAGCGGCGGACGGGUGAGUAACACGUGGAUAACCUACCUAUAGGACUGGGAUAACUUCGGGAAACCGGAGCUAAUACCGGAUAAUAUUUUGAACCGCAUGGUUCAUAAGUGAAAGACGGUUUUGCUGUCACUUAUAGAUGGAUCCGCGCUGCAUUAGCUAGUUGGUAAGGUAACGGCUUACCAAGGCAACGAUGCAUAGCCGACCUGAGAGGGUGAUCGGCCACACUGGAACUGAGACACGGUCCAGACUCCUACGGGAGGCAGCAGUAGGGAAUCUUCCGCAAUGGGCGAAAGCCUGACGGAGCAACGCCGCGUGAGUGAUGAAGGUCUUCGGAUCGUAAAACUCUGUUAUUAGGGAAGAACAUAUGUGUAAGUAACUGUGCACAUCUUGACGGUACCUAAUCAGAAAGCCACGGCUAACUACGUG
rnacentral:rRNA from 1 species